rnacentral:rRNA from 1 species
GAAGGUUGAUUUAUUCAAUGUAGGCACCAGGUUCUAUCUGAUAUUGGAAGUUAAGCAGGGUCAGCCCUAGAUAGUACUUGGAUGGGAGACUGCUGGUGAAUAAUAGGUGCUGCAGGCC